rnacentral:rRNA from 1 species
AGCAGCCGCGGUAAUUCCAGCUCCAAUAGCGUAUAUUAAAGUUGUUGCAGUUAAAAGCUCGUAGUUGAACCUUAGGCCCGUGCGGGCGGUCCGUCCUCAGGGCGAGCACUGCCUCGUCGCGGGUCUCACCUUCUGGCGAGCGUGGAUGCCAUUCACUUGGUGUCUGCGGGAACCAGGACCUUUACCUUGAAAAAUUAGAGUGCUCAAAGCGGGCUCGUACGCUUGAAUACAUUAGCAUGGAAUAAUGAAAUAGGACGACGGUUCUAUUUUGUUGGUUUCCGGGAUUGUCGUAAUGAUUAAUAGGGAUAGUUGGGGGCAUUCGUAUUCAAUUGUCAGAGGUGAAAUUCUUGGAUUUAUUGAAGACGGACUACUGCGAAAGCAUUUGCCAAGGAUGUUUUCAUUAAUCAAGAACGAAAGUUGGGGAUCGAAGACGAUCAGAUACCGU